AAUGUAAUUGUUUAUAGUGUGUGUGUGUGUACUGUGAAAUGUAUUGCCUGCUCUCCUGUACUGCUGAGGUUUGCUACCAACUAGGUGGGUUUGGCUAUGGAGCUUGUCUAGUGCCCUCUGUUGGUAGCAACAGCAAUAUGCACUACCUGAAUUGCAAGACUGGUUCAUUUGCAUAUUCGGGUAGAUUUGCAUAUUGUUAAUUCUGCAGGCAGGUGAGAUAUUUACUGUUAAAUAUUGUCUCCCCCACCCCUUUAAAAAUGUGCCAUUGUGUUGUGAUAAGUCACUGUGUGUUGCCUGCUAUGGUUUGACUGUUUUUGAUUUUAUUGAGGUUUCACAACAAUGUUAUUGUGGUGACCCUAUGGGCUGGUCCCAAGGGAAAUAAAGGUUUAGAUAGUUCUUCUUGAUCCCUCUAAACGUAGCCUUGUCUCGUUAUUGGAGGGAGCUGUUAU